AAAACAAACCGCUUAGGUGUCCUGGCAACACGGGGCACAUGCGCCUCUCCAGUAUAAGACCCACCACGAACCACCUGCCGCUACUCAGGGCAAGACUGAGACGGGGCGGAGACGGUCAUCCCUACUGAUUCUAGGUGUCAGGACCUGGGGCUUAGGGGUAGCCUGCAGAGCACGCCCAGGGGUGCUGACCCUCCUGUCUCGGCCUGAGUGCUGGGGUCACAGGUGUGAGUCACCACCAUGGGUUCCUACAGUGCUGGGGAUGGAAGGGGCUUCAGAUAGGCUGAGCCCCAUCUCUCCAGCCCUCAGAAUCUUUUUUUUUUUAAGAUUUAUUUAUUAUAUAUAAGUACACUGUCGCUGUCUUCAGACACACCAGAAGAGGGCAUCGGAUCCCCAUUACAGAUGGUUGUGAGCCACCAUGUGGUUGCUGGGAAUUGAACUCAGGACCUCAGGAAGAGCAGUUUGUGCUCUAACCACUGAGCCAUCCCUCCAGCCCACCUCAAAAAUCUUAAAAAGGAUGAGGAUGAGGCCUGGAGAGAUAGUUCAGCCUUUAGGGACCACUGGUUUUCUUCCAGAGGACCAGGGUUCGAUUCCCGGCACCAACAUGGUGGAUCACAGUCAUCUGCAAUUCCAGUUCCUCAGGACCAGACGCCCUCUUCAUCCCUGCUGGGCAAGGCAUGCGUGCGAUGCAUCUCCCGAACCCCUACAUAAGUCUUUUAAAUAGAAUAGGUACCCGGACCCUGGAUUUGGGGAGAGAACAUGGUGUGUUCUCUCUCACAUUCUUUCUCGCCUCUUCAUUACUCUGAAGUCAUCGGAAAAUGUAUGUAAAUGCAUCACGUGCAUGCAGUACCCCAGGUGGUCAGAAGAGGGCGUGCGAUCUCCCGCCAUUGGAGUUACAAAUGGUUGUAAUGCCUGAAUGCCGGUGGGUGCUGGAGGGGAAGCUUCGUUGUCAGGACACCUACGCGGUUUGUUUUCCAACCCCUGACUCUGGAAAAACCAGCAUCCUAGCUACUCGGGAGGCUGAGGCAAGAGGACGGACUGGCCAAGGUCGGCUUGGAUUACACAGUUCCGGAAAAGAUGCAUAUGAUCACCCAGAAAAGCGGGCGUCCUGCUGGACUGUCCCCACGUAUGAGGCCAGCGGUUCUGAGCACGGGAUGGAAAAGGACUGGGUCAAGGUCACCACCAGUUUAUGGAAAGAAUUGCGAGAAGGAUCCACAGCCCAGCGUGUCUGCUGUGUGGCGCACAGAACUUUGUAAAAGUAAACGCCAAUACUGUAAAUAAAUAUUUACAUCUUCCGAAGGAAAACAACAAGAUAGGCUGAACAGUAAAGGCUGAAGUUAAGUAGAGGCCAAGCCAGUCGGACCGACCGGAAGAUAGGCAGCCGGCUGAAGCGGCGGGGAUGAGUAAACACAGUGCGGGGGGACAUUUAAAUGGAACCAGUUGGAAUCGUGUAAACUGGGACAGACUCCACCCGGGGCCUCCCCGGCACACAAAACCGCACGUCCAAACGAUUGGUCUUAGUCUCUUGACAAGUGCGGUUCACUCCACCGACCCCGACCCCCCAACCCCCACCCCAAGGUUGCGAGAAAGGCUGAGGUAAUCUGAAGAUUGGCUUGGAGGUGGCCCUUAAGGGUCAAAGGGAAGUGUGGCGGGUGGGCAACCAGGACGGAUCCCAGAGAGAAGCUCCGAGCCCAGGACAAAGACGACCCUGGAAGUUGCAACCACGUCCCGCUUCCUCAACAAGAUUGAAGGGGCUCUGCAGGGUCCAGACCCUGUAAGCACACUUCGCCCAGAUUUCCCACACAACUCCGGUGGAUGCCCCCAACGGUCCUCACCACCUCCGAGCGACUCUCAGGCUCUGCGAUUCUUUUUUUUUUUUUUUUUUUUUUUUUGCACACACUGUUGCCUUUUCUCCAGAGAAGCCAUUAAAACGUGCAGUCGCAGGUUUACCCCUUA